rnacentral:lncRNA from 1 species
ACGUGAGGCGCCUCAGCACGGUAUCGUGCACGGUAAGUCUGGGCCGCAAGCAUAGGGGUUUGACUGCUGUUCGCGCUUAAAUGCAACCGUUAGUCGUUGGAAUCCGCAUGUUUAACCGUGUCACCUUUACUUGUGCAGGGUCUCCUCUCCGCAGACAUUGUGUUUAAAGCUCUGAAGGACUGCGCGGCCUCAGAUCCAACGAGGCUGCGACGUACGUGAGGCGCCUCAGCACGGUAUCGUGCACGGUAAGUCUGGGCCGCAAGCAUAGGGUUUUGACUGCUGUUCGCGCUUAAAUGCAACCGUUAGUCGUUGGAAUCCGCAUGUUUAACCGUGUCAUCUUUACUUGUGCAGGGUCUCCUCUCCGCAGACAUUGUGUUUAAAGCUCUGAAGGACUGCGCGGCCUCACAUCCAACGAGGCUGCGACGUACGUGAGGCGCCUCAGCACGGUAUCGUGCACGGUAAGUCUGGGCCGCAAGCAUAGGGUUUUGACUGCUGUUCGCGCUUAAAUGCAACCGUUAGUCGUUGGAAUCCGCAUGUUUAACCGUGUCAUCUUUACUUGUGCAGGGUCUCCUCUCCGCAGACAUUGUGUUUAAAGCUCUGAAGGACUGCGCGGCCUCAGAUCCAACGAGGCUGCGACGUACGUGAGGCGCCUCAGCACGGUAUCGUGCACGGUAAGUCUGGGCCGCAAGCAUAGGGUUUUGACUGCUGUUCGCGCUUAAAUGCAACCGUUAGUCGUUGGAAUCCGCAUGUUUAACCGUGUCAUCUUUACUUGUGCAGGGUCUCCUCUCCGCAGACAUUGUGUUUAAAGCUCUGAAGGACUGCGCGGCCUCACAUCCAACGAGGCUGCGACGUACGUGAGGCGCCUCAGCACGGUAUCGUGCACGGUAAGUCUGGGCCGCAAGCAUAGGGUUUUGACUGCUGUUCGCGCUUAAAUGCAACCGUUAGUCGUUGGAAUCCGCAUGUUUAACCGUGUCAUCUUUACUUGUGCAGGGUCUCCUCUCCGCAGACAUUGUGUUUAAAGCUCUGAAGGACUGCGCGGCCUCACAUCCAACGAGGCUGCGACGUACGUGAGGCGCCUCAGCACGGUAUCGUGCACGGUAAGUCUGGGCCGCAAGCAUAGGGUUUUGACUGCUGUUCGCGCUUAAAUGCAACCGUUAGUCGUUGGAAUCCGCAUGUUUAACCGUGUCAUCUUUACUUGUGCAGGGUCUUCACUCCAUUUUGUGGAGCCCGCGCCAAUAACCAAACUAUGUUGGUCAGUGUCACAAGAGGACGCUUCAUUAUAGCAGGCUUCCCAACUGUUUGCUUUUGCCAUAUUUUUGGGCUUUGCGUUUCACAUGGCGAUUGGCGUUGCGAACGAUACCCGCUUAUUGGUCGGAUAGGUCAUGAUUUAAUUGGAGGAGGGGGUAGCUUCGUCUGCAAAGCAAUUUGCACACACUGCUCCCUACCGCGCAGGGGGAACUGUCAAUUAGCAGCGCCCACAUGCGCUUUGCUCCUCAAGCCCUGCACCGGUGUGCGUGUCAGUUAUUUUGUUGUGCGCCCCCGUGCGGUUCGUUAUCUUAUUGUUAUGCGGCUUACGUCUACC